UUAGAGUUUGAUCCUGGCUCAGGAUGAACGCUGGCGGUAUGCUUAACACAUGCAAGUCGAACGGUGUCUUCGGACAUAGUGGCGGACGGGUGAGUAACGCGUGAGAAUCUAGCUUCAGGUCUGGGACAACCACUGGAAACGGUGGCUAAUACCGGAUGUGCCGGAAGGUGAAAGGCUUGCUGCCUGAAGAUGAGCUCGCGUCCGAUUAGCUAGUAGGUGGGGUAAGAGCCUACCUAGGCGACGAUCGGUAGCUGGUCUGAGAGGAUGACCAGCCACACUGGGACUGAGACACGGCCCAGACUCCUACGGGAGGCAGCAGUGGGGAAUUUUCCGCAAUGGGCGAAAGCCCGACGGAGCAAUACCGCGUGAGGGGGGAAGGCUCUUGGGUUGUAAACCUCUUUUCUCAGGGAAGAACACAAUGACGGUACCUGAGGAAUCAGCAUCGGCUAACUCCGUGCCAGCAGCCGCGGUAAUACGGAGGAUGCAAGCGUUAUCCGGAAUGAUUGGGCGUAAAGCGUCCGCAGGUGGCUGUGUAAGUCUGCUGUCAAAGAGCAAAGCUCAACUUUGUAAAGGCAGUGGAAACUACACGGCUAGAGUGCGUUCGGGGCAGAGGGAAUUCCUGGUGUAGCGGUGAAAUGCGUAGAGAUCAGGAAGAACACCGGUGGCGAAGGCGCUCUGCUAGGCCGCAACUGACACUGAGGGACGAAAGCUAGGGGAGCGAAUGGGAUUAGAUACCCCAGUAGUCCUAGCUGUAAACGAUG
rnacentral:rRNA from 1 species